rnacentral:rRNA from 1 species
AGUGAACGCUGGCGGCGUGCUUAACACAUGCAAGUCGAACGAGAACGGAAUAUAGCUUGCUAUAUUUGUCAGCUAAGUGGCGCACGGGUGAGUAAUGUAUAGAUAACCUGCCCUUAAGAAAGGAAUAACAGUUGGAAACGACUGCUAAUGCCCUAUAUGCCUUUAAUACAUAAGUAUGCAAGGGAAACGCUUUAGUGCUUAAGGAUGGGUCUGUAUGGUAUCAGCUUGUUGGUGAGGUAAUGGCUCACCAAGGCUAUGACGCCUUACUGGUUUGAGAGGAUGAUCAGUCACACUGGAACUGAGACACGGUCCAGACUCCUACGGGAGGCGGCAGUGGGGAAUAUUGCACAAUGGACGAAAGUCUGAUGCAGCAACGCCGCGUGGAGGAUGACACAUUUCGGUGCGUAAACUCCUUUUAUAUAGGAAGAUAAUGACGGUACUAUAUGAAUAAGCACCGGCUAACUACGUGCCAGCCGCCGCAGUAA